AGCUAUUGACAUGUUGUCAUGGUCCAGAACUACAGUCAAGAUCAGUAAUUCAUGUAAGAUCUAUUAAGUUUCCACUCAGAGAGACUGAAAUCUGCUUAGCGGAUUCCUGACCUUUGGUACAGCAGUUAACCAAUUAAUUUGCUGUCUAACAAAGAUUGUAAUAUGAAACACUGCACGCACAAUAUCUUAGUUGUCUUCUCAACCUGCAUACGAGUAUCGGUGAUGCGCACAAACUUUAGGUCCUGUUCUUGACAUAAGUAUUUCACAG
rnacentral:lncRNA from 1 species